UAGGAAAGUCAUAAAUAUAUAAAUUAAAAUAUAUAUAUAAUAUAUAUAUUUUAUAAUAAAGUAAUAAAUAUAAAUAAAUAAUAAUGGAAAUACUUAUAAUUUUUAAUAUAAGGUAAAUAAUCACCCCCACCCUUCGGUGGGGGUGAAUAAUUUAAAAUAGCUUAAUAAAUAUAUUAUUUAGUAAUAAUAAUAAUUAUCGGUUGGUAAUUAAUUUUAUAUCUAAUUUUUUAAUUAAUAAUUCUACUGACCCCUUAAAGGGGUCAGUGUUGAGAAUAGUUUCUCCUAUAAUAAUAGGAAAAAAAGUAGAUCUUGUAAUAGUUAUAUAUAUAUAUUUAUAUUAUUUUUAAUAAAAAUAAUAUAUUAAUUAUAUAUUUUUAAUAUAUAUAAUUAAAUAAUAAAUCAUCAAAUAUAUAAUAUAUUUUAAAAUUAUUAUAAUAUACAAAAAUAUGCUUAA
rnacentral:RNase_P_RNA from 1 species